GACUCUAGGAACCGUCCAAUAAGGCACGCAGCUGGAAAGUAGACAGGCCGGCUUCCAGGAUUUGGCGGGUUCUUUGUCUCUUCCUGCAGUCAGAGUUCUGGUUCUCGGCUUCUCUGUUCUGUGUCCUCCGCUCCUGGAGGUGUGGUCCUGUGACCUUCAGGUAUUGAGGAUCCACAGCUGAGUCGCCAGGAGCCGCUGGAAACCUCGAAAUGGCUUUCUGUGGGCAACGAGGCCGUUUUAUUUCUCUGGGGUGCAAGCAGUCCGAAUCCAAGAAACGAAAAGGCGAAGGAGGUAAGGUGGUAAUUGGCUUUAUAGGUUGGGGUAGAUUUUUUGGGGGCGGGAGUUUUACAGAGUAAGAUCACAAGUUCAGUUACAAUGGCAGUGUUGGGUGAGAGGUAUUUACAUUACCAUAAGAACAGUUAGGAUGGCAGGGUUGGCUGAGGGGCUAGUUGGGGAAGCUCAGAUGGGCGAUUAGCGAGGAUGGCGAACUCAGGCGGUGGGUGAGAGACUUCAACUGGGGUAGGCAGGACUUCAGACUUUCGGGCUCCAGGCUGGCAUAUGAGACCUGACAUUCAGGCUCCAGGCUUGCAUAUGGAGACCAGACACUUAAUUUCCACUUGAGCUUCCAUAUUUCCUGGUUAUGCAAUCAGAGGUUAAUUGACGGUUUAUAGUUGGUAAGUCUGAAUUUUUUUCCCCCAAUGUACCAAUUUAC